CCCUACGGGGUGCAGCCGGCGCAGGGCGACACGAGGCACGUGUACCGACAGGUGUUCCGCCCCAAGAAGAGACGCGAGUGAACCGGCCUGUCGGAAGGCCUCCACACCGACGGCGGGGGAACUCUCGCCCUUGUACCGGAGGUCCGGCAUGUGUACCGAGAGCCGUCGUCCACCGGACUCCCGCCAGUGCCGGACGGCGCGCAGGCGUUCUCCCGUCGGCAGCUCCGCUGCUUCACAUGCCCUCAACUCGACGCACUGAACACCAUGCCGUGACGCACAGUCCAGGCCCGGCAACGGCUCCGCCAUGCAGGAGAACCCCAGAUUCGCGAUGAAGUCGUCCCGCAGGGAAGAUGACCACUGCGCGACCGAGCCCUCAUCAAAGGGUAUCUCACUCGUGCUCCAUUCCCGAUCGUGCAACUCAAACAGAGCCGUGGCGGGAGGGC
rnacentral:rRNA from 1 species